CGGGGUGUAGCUCAGCUUGGUAGAGCNAGAGCGCUACGUUCGGGACGUAGAGGUCGCAUGUUCGAAUCAUGUCUCCCCGACCA
rnacentral:tRNA from 1 species